GUACACUCCUGCGGGAGGCAGCAGUGGGGAAUAUUGCACAAUGGGCGCAAGCCUGAUGCAGCCAUGCCGCGUGUAUGAAGAAGGCCUUCGGGUUGUAAAGUACUUUCAGCGGGGAGGAAGGCGAUAAGGUUAAUAACCUUGUCGAUUGACGUUACCCGCAGAAGAAGCACCGGCUAACUCCGUGCCAGCAGCCGCGGUAAUACGGAGGGUGCAAGCGUUAAUCGGAAUUACUGGGCGUAAAGCGCACGCAGGCGGUCUGUCAAGUCGGAUGUGAAAUCCCCGGGCUCAACCUGGGAACUGCAUUCGAAACUGGCAGGCUAGAGUCUUGUAGAGGGGGGUAGAAUUCCAGGUGUAGCGGUGAAAUGCGUAGAGAUCUGGAGGAAUACCGGUGGCGAAGGCGGCCCCCUGGACAAAGACUGACGCUCAGGUGCGAAAGCGUGGGGAGCAAACAGGAUUAGAUACCCCAGUAGUCCCAUGAU
rnacentral:rRNA from 1 species